rnacentral:rRNA from 1 species
CAGUCGCCGCGGUAACACAGAGGGUGCGAGCGUUAAUCGGAUUUACUGGGCGUAAAGCGUGCGUAGGCGGCUUUUUAAGUCGGAUGUGAAAUCCCUGAGCUUAACUUAGGAAUUGCAUUUGAUACUGGGAAGCUAGAGUAUGGGAGAGGAUGGUAGAAUUCCAGGUGUAGCGGUGAAAUGCGUAGAGAUCUGGAGGAAUACCGAUGGCGAAGGCAGCCAUCUGGCCUAAUACUGACGCUGAGGUACGAAAGCAUGGGGAGCAAACAGGAUUAGAGACCCGCGUAGUCCCUGUCUCUUAUAA